rnacentral:lncRNA from 1 species
UAAAGGGAAACCUAAAGCAAACUAAUAUUUUCUAUUUAUUUUUGUCACUAAAAGGGCCUAAUUAAUUUGCAUUUAUAAAUUGGGGCCUCGAGUUCUCGUCCGAAUUCAAACGAAAGGGAAGACCCUUUUAAUUUGAACCCUCUAUCUAACUCAAAACUAAAAUUUAUAUUGCAAAUUAAUUUCCCAUAUUCCUAAUGUAAUUUAAAGGAUUUUUUACUUAUAGCAAAUUGUUGGGCCUUAAAACUUUGGUCCAAGCUGGUAAGCUAUCAGCUUGUGAAAUCCAAGUAAAUGCAUGCCCAUGUUGAGCUUCUGAGCGGAUGGCCCAUGAUUUGGCCACAUUUUAUGAAAACGAACAGGAGUGGGCUCCUAUUGAGCGCAAAGUCAAUACCAAUCUUGCUCAGGAUCUGCUAAACACAUUCGUAAUUAUGCAAAUGAAUUGCUGAUUUUGAAUGUGAUUAUAAUCCUAUAAGUUCACCUGUUCAUGCCUAUCCUUUUAGAUGUGAAAGUUAACAUCAUUUUAACAUCUCCUGGACUUCAAUUGACAUAAAAACUAUAAUAUGAAUGCUGAAAGUAAACUAACGUAAGGUGUGCAACCUAACUACCAGCUGGAUAUGAACAUUAAAUGCGAAACUGAUGUUAUAAGACACAAUUUUAGACCUUCAACCUCAGAUUACACAUAGAAUUACCAAUGUCAGUUCAAAUGCCUAAGGAUUAAUUACACAUGGAGUUAUCAAAGGCUAAUAACAGAACAUAAUUUCAAUAGUCUAAUAAUCUACACAUGUACAUUAACUCAUGACAAACUUAAAAGUCUAGAAACAUUCCUAGGCUGUCCACUCAUCAACUUACAAGUUCUAUCCAAGUUAAUCAAUGAAUAUAAUAUAUAUAUAUACAUAUAUAUAUAUAUAUAUAUAUAUAUAUAUAUAUAUAUAGAGCAUACUGUCCAGUUCAAUAUAAUUCAUUAGUUAAAAAUACAAGUCAAAAGUGGAUUCAAUCCAUUCCAAGCAAAAGAGCAUAUUUUUUCGUCUUUUAAAUCAAGAGUUACAGCACAUCAGACUUGAAUGUGUACCUGGAAGUUGAGGUAAAACAAAGGACAUGAGUCAGCAGUAUUAGAUAGCAAACAACAUCUCAAAUCAGCAACAGACAAGACCAAUUUCAGGAUCAAAUUGAUAUUAUAGCACCCAGGAAAAGUAACAGAGAAUCAACAGCAACAAAGCAAACCAAAUCACACUUGUUUGACCUCAAAACUAACUUCAAAUAAAGCAAUGUAACAUCUUUUUUUUGGAUCUUUACUAGAUUUUUAUAUGUUUGGAUUUUUUGGCAGGAAUUAAAAGCUAAACAAAAGGUUUCUAGAACUAUGAAACUUCAUAUUUGUACUUCUCUGGAUUUUGAAAUUCAAAAUUUGAGACUCAGCUUUUUAGAAGUGGAUUUUUGGAGAAACUAGAAGCUGGAAGGUUUUUGGAAUUUUCAGGGAUCUAAACUUGUUAAUCAAGGCACUAGUGAUGCCUUUUAUAGGCAAGAAAUGGGGCAGAAUCUUCUGAAAGAGUUUUUCUAUUUUUUUCCUUUUUUAUUUUCAAAAAUUGACUAUUAGACCCUAACUUUAAGACUUGUUACCCAAGUUACUGCAUUAUAAAUGCAGAAACUUAAACUAAGGCCCCUUUCUAGAAGGCCCUAGGGUGUUCUUUUAGCUGUGAAAAACCUAAACUACCUUUGAUUGAAUUUUAGAAUUACCGAUCCUUAACAAACUGGGCCAUUUUCAAUGACCAAAAUACCCUUGAAGACCCCCUAAAAUUACUAACCAAACCCAAAACCCUUUUUCCUAGUUAGAAGUCAACUAUAGGUAAUCCUAAUGAGUCUAAAUAAGCUAUAACCAAAAAAAGCGAAACCUUAACUCUAAUUCUCUAUGAUUAACUAACCAACAAUCAAGAAUUCAGCAGGUAAUCAAUGGCACUACUUUAUGAAUUCUAAAACUACUAUCAGUAAGCACAUAAAUGGAAUCAAAAACAAAAUUCAAAUAACAAAAUCAGUACUAAUUAUUGUCGAAAAAAGAAAGAAGAAAAAGAGCAUAACGAACAAAAUAACAGGAAUAAAAGGAAAUUAUAUUGAAACUAAUUACAGAAAUAACAGAGACUCACCCAUUCAAAGCUGGAACGGAGAUUGACAACUCGAUUCGAGCCUCAGAACAGUGUUAAGCAUUUGUUCUUCUCAAAGAACAAACGAAACAUUAUUUCGUGACUCGAAUCUAAUACCAGAUUCUAGUAAUUAGGCGAAACCGAACAACAUAAGCUCCUAGGGUUCUGCUGGAUUUUUGAUUCAAGAUUCGAGGCGUUUGGUUGUGAUUCGAGGGGAACUUAUGCUAGAUACGGAAAGAGAAGCAUGCAAGGAACCUAUGGUAUAAAUUUGGGGUUAUUUGGAUGGUUUUGUGUUUUGGCCAAAAAAACUUCGAUCUAAAAUUCGAAGUGUUGGAUUUGUGAGAAACGGUUUUGGGGGUUGGACAGAGGAAGAAGAGAUGAGUAAUGGGUGUAUUUUUGGAGUGGUUUGGAGCUUCGCCUCCGCUAACGGAGAUUUUCGGCCGGUGGCGGACGACAGAGAUACGGCGGGGUACAGAGGUGAUAUACUGACGUUACAGGGUACAAGGAAGAGGAUUGUGUUUUAGAUUUUGUAUAUAUUUUUGGACAGUUUUAAGCGUUAUUGUGAAGCAAUCUGGGCCGUUCGAUCAAGAGGCAUGGAUGGACUGGAUUACUUGAUGCCAAAACAGCAUCCUUUUGAUAACCUGGGGACUGCACCGGGUGGGAGACAGAUUGGGCCAAAUUUUGAACGGAUUUGGGGACUUUGGC